UGCUGCCUUAUCUAGGAUUUCUGAGUCAGUGUAGGGUGGGGAAUAGAAGUAUCCUACGCAUCAAAGUCGCAGCUGCAGAACUUGUAUCUAUUAUAUCCCUUUUUAAGCUGGUGACUGAACUAGAGACUACCAUACAUCUAUAGCCAAUACACAAUGGAACACAGCACAGAAAUUCCUUAAAAACAUGGAAAAUAGCCUCCUGUGUGAUCCAGUCAAGCAUAUUAACCAAGAAGAUGGUCUCCACACAUCAAAGACACCUGCUUACUCAUUUCUGUCACUGCACUGUCCACUAGAGCUAUGAUAUGAUACAGAACCAGCCUACAGGUCCAGCAGAGGACAAAUAGAUGAAGAGAAUGGAGCACAUGCACACAGUGGGUACAUCUGGAAAUCUAGAAUGCCACG